rnacentral:rRNA from 1 species
UACGUAGGGGGCGAGCGUUGUCCGGAAUGACUGGGCGUAAAGGGCGUGCAGGCGGCUUUAUAAGUCUGAAGUGAAAGUCCCGUUUUCAAGGUGGGAAUAGCUUUGGAUACUGUAGAGCUUGAGUGCGGAAGGGGUAAGUGGAAUUCCCAGUGUAGCGGUGAAAUGCGUAGAGAUUGGGAGGAACACCAGUGGCGAAGGCGACUUACUGGGCCGUAACUGACGCUGAGGCGCGAAAGCGUGGGGAGCGAAC